rnacentral:rRNA from 1 species
UACGUAGGGGGCAAGCGUUGUCCGGAUUUACUGGGCGUAAAGAGCGCGUAGGCGGAAGCUUAAGUGUGGCCUGAAAGCCCCCGGCUCAACCGGGGAAGGUGGCUGCAAACUGGGCUUCUUGAGGGGGAUAGGGGAAAGUGGAAUUCCGGGUGUAGCGGUGAAAUGCGCAGAUAUCAGGAGGAACACCGGUGGCGAAGGCGGUUCUCUGGGCAUUACCUGACGCUGAGGAGCGAAAGCGUGGGGAGCAAACAGG